AACAAUGUAUUUUUUUUCAGGCUAAAUCUACCCAAGACGUUGGCUGUCAGACUGAUUUAGUAAUCUGCAAAAAUGCACUUGUCCAGGCUCAUGUAAAGCCUUAUCGACGUAGCAAAGCCACACAGUUUAGAGCUCCCAGCCGCAGUGUGUCUUGUGACACAGGGACCGUGACGGAAAUUCAUCUUCCACAAAGUCCCAGAGCUGCGUCCACACCCCUGAAAAGACCACGAUAUGAGGUGUCUGUUGUUGAUCCCAGCUUCCACCUCAAUGACAGUGCAAGCUCAGUGAACUGUUCAAGCUCUUUCACUGAGGUCCAUCCACAAAAGGACAAGAAGUACAUUGUUCAUGAGAAACAGUUGCUGGGGCUGUUCAGAAGGUGUCCCGUUUGUACCGGUCGUUGUGUUGUGAACACGACA